rnacentral:rRNA from 1 species
AGAGUUUGAUCAUGGCUCAGAAUCAACGCUGGCGGCGUGCCUAACACAUGCAAGUCGAACGCGAAAGCCCCGCAAGGGGUAAGUAGAGUGGCAAACGGGUGAGUAACACGUGGGUGACCUGCCUCAGAGUGGGGGAUAACGACCCGAAAGGGUCGCUAAUACCGCAUAACAUCCUGCGCUUGGAAGCGCGGAGAUCAAAGUCGGGGAUCGCAAGACCUGGCGCUCAGAGAGGGGCCCGCGGCCGAUUAGCUAGUUGGUAGGGUAAUGGCCUACCAAGGCAACGAUCGGUAUCCGGCCUGAGAGGGCGGACGGACACACUGGGACUGAGACACGGCCCAGACUCCUACGGGAGGCAGCAGUGGGGAAUUGUUCGCAAUGGGCGCAAGCCUGACGACGCAACGCCGCGUGGAGGACGAAGAUCUUCGGGUCGUAAACUCCUUUCGAUCGGGAAGAACGCCUUCCGGGUGAACAAUCCGGAAGGGUGACGGUACCGAGAGAAGAAGCCCCGGCUAACUCCGUGCCAGCAGCCGCGGUAAUUC